AAUCAACGCUGGCGGCGUGCCUCAGACAUGCAAGUCGAACGCGAAAGUCCCCUUCGGGGGACAAGUAGAGUGGCGCACGGGUGAGUAACACGUAGGUAAUCUACCUUCGGAUGGGGAAUAACAACCGGAAACGGUUGCUAAUACCGCAUAAUGCAGCGGCACCUAAUGGUGACAGUUGUUAAAGCGGGGGAUCGUAAGACCUCGCGUCUGAAGAGGAGCCUGCGGCGGAUUAGCUAGNGGUAGGGUAACGGCCUACCAAGGCGACGAUCCGUAGCCGGCCUGAGAGGGCGGUCGGCCACACUGACACUGACAUACGGGUCAGACUCCUACGGGAGGCAGCAGUCGGGAAUUUUGGGCAAUGGGCGAAAGCCUGACCCAGCAACGCCGCGUGAAGGAU
rnacentral:rRNA from 1 species